rnacentral:rRNA from 1 species
UGGGGAAUUUUGGACAAUGGGCGAAAGCCUGAUCCAGCAAUGCCGCGUGUGUGAAGAAGGCCUUCGGGUUGUAAAGCACUUUUGUCCGGAAAGAAAUCCUUGGCUCUAAUACAGUCGGGGGAUGACGGUACCGGAAGAAUAAGCACCGGCUAACUACGUGCCAGCAGCCGCGGUAAUACGUAGGGUGCAAGCGUUAAUCGGAAUUACUGGGCGUAAAGCGUGCGCAGGCGGUUUGCUAAGACCGAUGUGAAAUCCCCGGGCUCAACCUGGGAACUGCAUUGGUGACUGGCAGGCUAGAGUAUGGCAGAGGGGGGUAGAAUUCCACGUGUAGUAGUGAAUGCGUAGAGAUGUGGAGGAAUACCGAUGGCGAAGGCAGCCCCCUGGGCCAAUACUGACGCUCAUGCACGAAAGCGUGGGGAGCAAACAGGAUUAGAUACCCCUGGUAGUCCACGCCCUAAACGAUGUCAACUAGUUGUUGGGGAUUCAUUUCCUUAGUAACGUAGCUAACGCGUGAAGUUGACCGCCUGGGGAGUACGGUCGCAAGAUUAAAACUCAAAUGAAUUGACGGGGUCAUAGCUGUUU